ensembl:lncRNA
AUGCAAGUUGUUUCUGAGAUAAGCAGUUUUCUUUCCUGUUUGUGCACAGCCACCUUCAAGUGUAGAUGCAGAAGGAGAUCAAUGCACACCACAUCGCAACAGACAAGACAAGCCCAAAGAAUCUUUCCACCAUUUAAAAAUAUCAUGGAUCAGACUCCAGACAUUUCCACAGACCACAAGAGAGAGAAGCAGUCAAAAGCAUCAUCGAACAUCCCUAAGAAUCUGCCAUUGUUUCUCAACAGGUCGUGGUGUAAACCCAAUGAAGACAUGCGAAAUGCGGCAGAGCUCCGAGAUUUGAAUCGCCAGUAUAUUUAUAAAUCACAGAUUUUAGGUUAUUCCGCAAGCUUUAUCUUAAGUGUAAUAACAAUAACCUUAAUGGUUAUUUUUGACUGCCACAUAAGUGGGAGAUGUGACUUCUGCCCAAAAUGCUGCAGACCAACAGCAGAGAUACAGACUGAGAAACAAGGUUCUGCUACAAUGGGACAGGAACUGCAAGGGUCAGGGAGUUCUGCUACAAUGGGACAGGAACUGCAAGGGUUAGGGAGUUCUGCUACAAUGGGACAGCAAGAUUCAAGGAGUUCUGCCUCAGUGAGACAUAAACUACAAGGGGCAGAGGGUUUUGCUGCAGUGUCAUGGCAAUUAGAGAGUUCUGAUAUAGUGCGACAAGGAAAUAAAGGGUUAGGAAGAUCUGCUCUAGCAGGACAUGGACAACAAAUGUCAGGGAGUUCUGCUCCAAUGGGUUCUAUUACAAAAACACCGGAACGGCAAAUGCUACUGCAAUUUCCAUAGCAACUUAAAAAAAAAAAAAAAGUGAAAGGCCAUCUACUAACAACAGAGCAGUUAUUAACAAAUUGAUUUCUCUCUAUCUUUAUUAAACAAAACUAUCCUAUGCCAUCAGAUACCAAAUGUGACACACAAGUACAUUAAACUGUUUUGUCAGAAAGAAGAAAGGAUGAUCAAGAUCCUUCAGAAGCUGCAGAAACUUUGCAUAGUUGAAUAUUUAUAUUUUGUAAUGAAUUGUAUUAGAUAAACUUCUGAACUUCAGAUAAAUAUAGGCAGAUAUUUUGCAUGUGCAAAUUUUUUAAAGCACAUCUCUUUUAAUGGGAAAAUACCUUUUUGUGAAAUGAUUUGCUUGGAAUAGUCUGUUUCUGUAAAGCAUGUUUCGAUGGAGGGGGGAAAAAAAAAGGAUAGGGCCGGUUCUAGACAUUUGGAGGCCCAAGGCAAAAUUCAUGUUGGAGCGCCCCCACCCACAAUAAAAAGCACUUGAAACAAAUAUGAUUCCUAACC